rnacentral:lncRNA from 1 species
CAGUUUUGGUCUUUUCUUUAAACUUAUGAUUAUAUGAUUCUCCCCUAUUCGCGUUGCUUCUUCCACCUAAAAAGUUCUAAGACACGCACCCAAAAAAAACAAAGAAAAGAAAAGUAUCAAUAACACCCUGAAAUAUUAAAAGCAUCGCGAAGAUGAGUUAUGUUCUUUAAACCAACUAAAAUAGUUAUGUUUCUUUGAUCCAACUGAAUAUGAAAUUUUAGUUGUUUUAUUAUACCUUUAUUUAACCAAAGAACUAGAAAUUUUGAAGUUGAAUCUUUUCCUGCAUCAACCAAGUUUUAGAACAGUGCUCUUUGUUUCUGUACAUCGGGAUGUGGCCAAAAGCUGACCUUUGAAUCCUAAUAAUAUACACACAGCAUUUCACCAUUGCACCUAUAUGCAAUGCAUAGUUAUUGCCAUGAUUAUUCAUGUCUUAGAUAGUUGAGAGUGAGUGAGAGGUGUCUUAGAAAAUGCUUGUGUUUUUAUGGGAAUUAUGGUGUGUCAACGGGUGUCACCUCCAUUUCACCGUUACAAACACAUAGGAAUUUAAAUUUAGCUAUUACUCGUAUUAACUAAUUCAGAAUCAUAGGAAAGUUAAUGUGCAACUAAGUGUCCUUGCGGAAACCACCAAGUACUACAAGGCCUCGUUUGUGAGCACCAUGUGUCUUUGUCCAAGUUACCCAUUUUGGCUUCGAAAUAUCGAAAAUGUACCCAGCAAGUAUGUGUGACGUCCCAAAAUAGGUAUACAUCACCUAUUCUUAGUCGCCAAAUACAUGGUACAAAAUACAAAUACAAUCUUUAAUAUACAACAAGAAAGCUGUGAGUUUUAAUACAAAUAUUGUCUUCUAGACAAUAUCCACUCUCAGAAUAAGUCCUCAUUACAUUUCUUGUCACACUAUUUAACAGAAUAGUGAGGACUACUAAUACUAUCAUCUGGACCGUCACUCCGUUCCCCGACUAGUCCCGGCUACGUUUUCAUUUCUUGAAGAGAACAGUGAAAGAAAGGGUGAGCUCAACUAGCCCAGUAAAGAAUAUCAUGACUUAAGAUAAUUAAAUUAUUAAAAGAAUUCAGAUAUUUAGAACAUAUGGUAAAAGAUAAAAGUUUUCAACCAUAAUAGCAGCGGAAUCAACAAUCCAUUAGAAGAGUUAAGUAGAACAUAAUGUCUACUAUCUCCUCUAGAUUAAAGGUCCAUCGUUAAUAUUUCAUUCCUGUAAUACUCAUCAACAGUUCUUUGUUAUACCUAAGACAAAGAGAACUCUCAUCACCUGUCUUCACCUGAACCACCACAAAUUAUAAUUAAAUUCACAAUUCGUAUUUAUAUAAUCAGAUAAAUCAACAGUUCAUACAACUGUAAAACCAAUAACCAACAGUCCAUCUUUGCACUACAGGCCAAAGAUAUACAACUGUAAAACCAAUAAUGCUGAGACUCAGCUUAAUAGUAUCACGACUACGAAUUAUCCAUGCACUACGGGCCAAGGAUAUUCGUGUUUUCAAUUAUGGUCAUGAUUAUACCGAAUAAUCCCUGGUUAUAAUCAUACCAAGUCUAUCUAUGCACUACGAGCCAAAGAUGACUUUUACCACAUCAUUUGUAACAUUACGGUCAUGAUUAUACCGAAUAAUCCCUGGUCAUAAUCAUACCAAGUCCAUCUAUGCACUACUGGCCAUAGACGACUUUCAACACAAUAUAAGCAUGAGAAUGAUGACAAUGAUAUAUAUAAUGAAUAAACAUAAAUCAUCAGAAUAAUAAGAUAACAUAGAUCUUAGUGAUUUUCAACUUAAUUAUCCAGAGUCCAAAUUGAUAACAUAAUAAUAGAUGAAGCACAAACUAUUAAGUAUAUUCUAAUCCUUUCAGGACUUUUCACCAUUUAAUGAUAAACUGAAUAAACGAAUAAUAAUAUCUUACCAUAAUAUGAAAGAAAAUGAUAUUCUUUUUAUCAUAAAAAUGAUACCCUCUUACCACAAUAAUGAUAUCCCUUACCUUAGCAUGUGACUUGAUUCUGCUUUCUGUGAAAUUGAUCAACUUAAACAAUGCUUGCAUUCUUUAUCUACACUUGCAGUAACAUUACACUCAAUAGAAAUACUCACAAUAUUAUACUCACAAUAUUGAAGAAAAAGAAUUCUAUAUUUUUAGUGUAGUGAUGGUGUGUGUUUAGUUACUCAACCGAGCAACCUAUUUAUACUAAAAAUUUAGUAAACAACUGCCACACCUGCUUUGACAAAAUAACCAAAUGGGGUAUAAAAUAAUGGUAGUGGAAUUUAUGGUCCCACAAAGAAAAUUAAAUCAACUUGUACACGUUUUAACAAAAUUUGUUCAAUAAUAGAGUUGUGGUCCAUACUACUUUAGAAAAAGUAGAGUGUCGGCAAGUCCUGCCAAACAUACUUUUGUAAAAAGAAAAUAAUUGAACAAACAUCUCUAUAUUGUACUUAUCUUUAAUCAACACCUUUUAUUCAUCAAUUAUUUACACAUUUUAAAUCUUUCAACAAUUAUACACAAUUAUUUAUUAAAACUCACAAUACUGUCAACUGGUUUAAUUAUAUCAUAUCAAAUAAUAUGAGUCACUGUGCAAUAACUAUGACAAUUAUUGAAUAAAAGACUGAUUGACUUCUUACGUAAUUAAGAAUCAAUAAUAUAAAUAACUGUGCAAUAACUACUGUGACAAUUAUUGAAUAAAAUACUGAGUGGCUUCUUACGUAAGAAUCAAAUCAAUAUCUUUAAAUUUUUAUUAAAAGUAAGGAUCAACAUCAAAUCAUAUGUAUCUCGAAUAACAUAUAAACCAACUAAUAAUUCAUUAUUCAUUUAAGUUGUCUUUAUUUAUCGUAUAAAAUCAUUAUUCAUAUUCCAAAAUUUUAGAAGUGAAUAAUAAAACUUGAGAAAUAUACAACCUCAUAUAUGACAAUCUAUUAUUCUGAUAUUAUCACCAUUUUUACUUUAACAAAAAUAUUAUUUUUGUUUUUAUCAUAACUCAUUCGUUACUAGUGCGUUUACAUCCCGACACCUCAUGAGCUUACUAACACUUCUAAAAUAUUUUAAAAAAAUAUGAUUCUGAAUUUUCCAAACAAAUUUCAUAUUUUUCAGAUUAUCUAACAAUUUUCUAUAAUUAUUUCUAUUUAUAAAAAAUAUCAUUUAAUAGCUUCAAAAUAGAAAUACUAACUUUACAUACUUUUAUAUCAUUAAAACAUUAUCAAUAUUAAUCUUACAUUAUUAUAAUAUUUUUCAGCAAAAAUCAUAAUUUUCCACCAUUCAUAGAAUUUUCUAUGAAUUUCUUCUAUUUUCAAACUAACUAUAAAUAGUUUAAAAAUAUAAUAAUUACUUCUGCUUUUCAAUAAUUUAUCAAAAUUUUACAGAAAUUCUAAGAUGAUAUUAUAAGCAUUCUGUAAAAAUAUUUCAACCAAAAUAAUUUUUCUGUUAAAUUAAUUAUAAACUCCAAUAUUCAGAAAUUUCAAUAAUUCACAAUAAUUAGCACUUUUAUCAGAAAAAAAUACAGAUCUUAUGUCCUUCCAUGUAAAAUUUAAUUCUCUACAACUUUUUAGAAGAAAGUUUUCCCAAAUUUUGACUCUAACAUAGAGAGAAAGGCUUACCGAAAUAUUCUGUUUGAUAAUUUUCGAACCAGCCACCUUACGAAAUUCACAACAGAUUAUAUAUUAAUCUUUAAUGGUUCAAAAUUUGUGGACAUAUACUCAACUUAUAUAUGCAUAACAUAUCCGAAAAUCACAACGAUCCAACGGUCGGAUUAAAAAUUAUAACUCACGCAAUAAAGCUUAAUAAAACUGAUUUUUUGGACUAUAAGUUCUUCGGACCAAUUUCACUCAAACUGUCACCACGAAGAAUCUACAAAGAAUUUUUGGGUGAUUCAAAUUUCUGCAUUUAGCUUACUUCCAUGGCUUUAUUUUGAUAUAUAGCUCAUCUCCUAACUCAUUAUACACAAAGAGUUAUGGAUUUUACAAAAUCAAGUAGUAAACUAAUUUUUAUGAAAAUUUCCAGAUUUUUCUUUUCAUUUGAUUUCUUGAUUUCUCUUACUUGAUUCAUGCUUAUACAAGUUUAAAACAUACAAUACAUACCUAAGUAUGUACUCUUUACAUAAAAUCCAUAUAAACUAAAAUCUAAGAAUAAAUCAAAGAUUUUUUUAGAAAUACCUUUUCUUCUUCUCCUUCUUUCUCUCUUCUCUUCCUUCCUCUCUCUCUCUCUCUCUCUCUCUCUCUCUCUCUCAUUCUUCUGAUUUCCCGUGACUAACAAAAUGGGUGGGAGUACUUCAUAUUUUUCUCGUUCCUUUUAUUUUGUUUUCUAUCUUUUCUCUCUCUCUCUUUUUCUUCCUCUUUUCCCUUAUUUUCUUCCUUUCCUUUUCUCUUUUCUUCUACCUAUUUUGUCUACGGGAGGAAGUGAGAAAAUGCAAAUGUAAAGUGCUGAACAUUUGGCCUACUUAGCCAAAAUAAAUGGCCAACAUCCUUGCCCCACCAAUAAAAGAA